UUGGUCUAUAGUUCAGUCGGUAGAACAGCGGACUGUUAAUCCGUAGGUCGCUGGUUCGAAUCCAGCUAGACCAGCCAA
rnacentral:tRNA from 5 species